UUAAGAUGACGACAAGUGCUUGUGCUUGUGGAAAGUGAAUUUUUUCUAGAAAACCGAAAUUUAAAUAAUUGAAUUUCACUUCAAGGACGACUAAUACGAAGGCUAUCAGUGGCCAAUCCCAUCGCAACAUCCUGCAGGCAUCCGUCCUGCAGCAAUCCUUCCGGAACGGUGACCCCGGUACCAGCAUCCCCCAGGUAUCCCUCCCGUCCAUCUAGCAGGCAUCUCCACUGCUUCCUCGCCAUUCGCCAAUCGGAAGGGUGAGUAACAUAAUUAAAAUAACACGGCACGAGCAAUUGACGUU